rnacentral:rRNA from 1 species
GUGGUUUAAUUCGAUGCAACGCGAAGAACCUUACCUACUCUUGACAUCCAGAGAACUUAGCAGAGAUGCUUUGGUGCCUUCGGGAACUCUGAGACAGGUGCUGCAUGGCUGCCGUCAGCUCGUGUUGUGAAAUGUUGGGUUAAGUCCCGCAACGAGCGCAACCCUUAUCCUUUGUUGCCAGCGGUUCGGCCGGGAACUCAAAGGAGACUGCCAGUGAUAAGCUGGAGGAAGGUGGGGAUGACGUCAAGUCAUCAUGGCCCUUACGAGUAGGGCUACACACGUGCUACAAUGGCAUAUACAAAGAGAAGCGACCUCGCGAGAGCAAGCGGACCUCAUAAAGUAUGUCGUAGUCCGGAUUGGAGUCUGCAACUCGACUCCAUGAAGUCGGAAUCGCUAGUAAUCGUAGAUCAGAAUGCUACGGUGAAUAUGUUCCCGGGCCUUGUACACACCGCCCGUCACACCAUGGGAGUGGGUUGCAAAAGAAGUAGGUAGCUUAACCUUCGGGAGGGCGCUUACCACUUUGUGAUUCAUGACUGGGGUGAAGUCGUAACAAGGUAACCGUAGGGGAACCUGCGGCUGGAUCACCUCCUU